rnacentral:rRNA from 1 species
CUUGCUUCUCUUGAGAGCGGCGGACGGGUGAGUAAUGCCUAGGAAUCUGCCUGGUAGUGGGGGAUAACGUUCGGAAACGGACGCUAAUACCGCAUACGUCCUACGGGAGAAAGCAGGGGACCUUCGGGCCUUGCGCUAUCAGAUGAGCCUAGGUCGGAUUAGCUAGUUGGUGGGGUAAUGGCUCACCAAGGCGACGAUCCGUAACUGGUCUGAGAGGAUGAUCAGUCACACUGGAACUGAGACACGGUCCAGACUCCUACGGGAGGCAGCAGUGGGGAAUAUUGGACAAUGGGCGAAAGCCUGAUCCAGCCAUGCCGCGUGUGUGAAGAAGGUCUUCGGAUUGUAAAGCACUUUAAGUUGGGAGGAAGGGUUGUAGAUUAAUACUCUGCAAUUUUGACGUUACCGACAGAAUAAGCACCGGCUAACUCUGUGCCAGCAGCCGCGGUAAUACAGAGGGUGCAAGCGUUAAUCGGAAUUACUGGGCGUAAAGCGCGCGUAGGUGGUUUGUUAAGUUGGAUGUGAAAUCCCCGGGCUCAACCUGGGAACUGCAUUCAAAACUGACUGACUAGAGUAUGGUAGAGGGUGGUGGAAUUUCCUGUGUAGCGGUGAAAUGCGUAGAUAUAGGAA